UACGUAGGGUCCGAGCGUUGUCCGGAGUUACUGGGCGUAAAGCGCGCGCAGGCGGCCGUUCAAGUCUGGCGUGAAAGCCCCCGGCUCAACCGGGGAGGGUCGUCGGAGACUGGGCGGCUUGAGAGUGGCAGGGGCUGGUGGAAUUCCCGGUGUAGUGGUGAAAUGCGUAGAGAUCGGGAGGAACACCCGUGGCGAAGGCGGCCAGCUGGGCCACCUCUGACGCUGAGGCGCGAAGGCGUGGGGAGCGAACGGG
rnacentral:rRNA from 1 species